CCAGCUUCUUUCUUAGGCUGUUGGUGUUGAUUAUUCUAAUUACUUCACUGAGGUAAGAGCUGAACUGUACAAACUGUAUAACAAGUAUGAAAACAAGUAUGGUGCAGUUAGGUUGCAGAGGCCCUCCAACAUAUCAGGAUCAUCUGGUAAGAAAAAAAUACUUGGGGUAAGAUAUAUGGAGCUGCUGGUACAAGUCCCUCUUCUCCUGCUCUUGCAUCUACAUCUUCUUCUGCAGUAUCUGUGCCUCUUGUUUCAGAGUUGGCUUCCUACUUGGACAGCGACACUGUCACCUACUUUGAUGAUGAUUUUGACAUAUUAAUUUGGUGGCAUGAGCACAAACUGACAUAUCCCAUUCUGUCUAUACUAGCAAAAGAUGUUAUGUCUGUUCCAAUUUCUACUGUCUCUUCGGAAUCUUGCUUUAGUCUCACUGGCAGGGUGAUCGAGGAGCGUCGACGAUGCUUGGCGCCUCAUAAUGUGGAGUACUUGACCUGUGUCAAGGACUGGGAAGCUGCUGAUGCAAGGGCGCAGCAUGAUGUCGAGAAGUUGACGCGAGAUUUGGAGUUAAAGUUUGGCAUCAAGGACAAUGCUGAAGGGCAGGCUGCUGGAAAUGAGUCUGUCCCUGCCAAUGGCUAGUCAUGAGAAGUGAAGGCAAGGGGCAAGGCUGGGCCUAGGCAAGAGGCCAGCAGCAUCACCAAGUCAGCAGUAGUGUUUUGCAAUUUGAUCUUCUGUUUGUAAUGUACUAAUGAGUCUGCUGAACUUGAACAAUGUGAUGUAAUUUUGAACAAUUAUAGAGUUGGGCU